CUGUAGGGAGAGACGCAGGAUACCCCUGCAGGCAGAGUCCGGGAGGAUCGGUGACCUACUGGCUAGAAGAGUCCCUGCCUAACAUCCAUGUUCGCAAUAAGCACCGCAGUCAGCACUGUAAUGCACGGAUGACCGCACACAUCUGUAACCUUGCCCACAAAUAUGUACCUAUGACAGAGAGAGUCGGAGUGGACGGAGCUAGGGAGGAGAGUCACAUGGCCGGAAAGAACAUAGGAGCUCUGCUGGGCACUGUGCUUCUGCUCCCAGUCUGAGAACAUAUUUCUGGUAGAUGGACAUGGGACCUGUCUCAGAUCCAGAUGUUGGGUGCAAAUCGUGAAGAUGGGAGUGAGAAGGGGUGAUCAGGCAGGUGAUGAGAGCAUCCUACAUACAGUUGACCAUGGGAGAAGCAGUCCUGUUGAAGUUGAAGCCCAAUAACUUUAAGUGUUUGUCCCUGGGUUUUAUUGAGCGACAUGGCAAAACUUACUUUUUCUAGAUAUUGCAAGCAUUUAAUUUAAAACGGUAUCUCAGAUGUUAUUAGUGGUAUUCCAGGAAUAAAGUUGUCUUCUCCUUUGCCACAACCAAUUAUACUUUUGUAUGACAUACUUAGAGAUUUUGGGGUCUAUUUACUAAGCAUUGGAUGGAGAUAAAGUCGACGGUGAUAAAGUAGUACCAGCCAAUCAGCUCCUAACUGCUAUGUCACAGGCUGGGUUUGAAAAAUGACAGUUAGGGGCUGGUUGGCUGGUACUUUAUCUCUGUCCACUUUAUCUCCAUCCAAUGCUUAGUAAAUAGAACCCUUUAUUUUAAAAUUAUAGUUUAACUUAAAAAAUGCAAUUGUCGCAAUAUUUGUUGCUUUGUUAUGUUGACCCUACUGUAUGUCGUGUUGUUGAGAGGUUUCCUUCCAUCAGUCAAACAACUGUUUUCAACCAAAAAAAAAUUUUUUCAAAUAUUUAUCACUCUGUCACUUUGUCUCUAUGUGGUCUAAUAGCUUAAUUUGUCAAUACUAAAUUACUGUAUAAAAUUUGGUAGCUUCACCAUGAAAGCCGUGGAAGAUAUUUAUGUACAACAUAAAAACAU